CCUACGGGUGGCAGCAGUGGGGAAUAUUGCACAAUGGGGGAAACCCUGAUGCAGCGACGCCGCGUGAGUGAAGAAGUAAUUCGGUACGUAAAGCUCUAUCAGCAGGGAAGAAAAUGACGGUACCUGAGUAAGAAGCACCGGCUAACUACGUGCCAGCAGCCGCGGUAAUACGUGGGGGGCAAGCGUUAUCCGGUAUUACUGGGUGUAAAGGGAGCGUAGACGGUUCGACAGAUCUGCCGGGAAAUGCCGCAGCUUAAAUGCGGAACUGCUGUGGAAACUGGCGAACUUGAGUGCGGGAGGGGGAAGCGGAAUUCCUAGUGUAGCGGUGAAAUGCGUAGAUAUUAGGAGGAACACCGGUGGCGAAGGCGGCUUACUGGACCGUAACUGACGUUGAGGCUCGAAAGCGUGGGGAGCGAACAGGAUUAGAUACCCUAGUAGUC
rnacentral:rRNA from 1 species